rnacentral:rRNA from 1 species
GAUGAACGCUGGCGGCGUGCCUAAUACAUGCAAGUCGAGCGAACAGACGAGGAGCUUGCUCCUCUGACGUUAGCGGCGGACGGGUGAGUAACACGUGGAUAACCUACCUAUAAGACUGGGAUAACUUCGGGAAACCGGAGCUAAUACCGGAUAAUAUAUUGAACCGCAUGGUUCAAUAGUGAAAGACGGUUUUGCUGUCACUUAUAGAUGGAUCCGCGCCGCACUAGCUAGUUGGUAAGGUAACGGCUUACCAAGGCAACGAUGCGUAGCCGACCUGCGAGGGUCAUCGGCCACCCUGGCACUGAGCCACGGCCCAGACUCCUACGGGAGGCAGCCGUAUGGAAUCUUCCGCAAUGGGCGAAAGCCUGACGGAGCCAUGCCGCGUGAGUGAUGAAGGUCUUCGGAUCGUAAGACACUGUUAUCAGGGAAGAACAAAUGUGUAAGCAACUAUGCACGUCUUCACGUUACCCAAUCAGAAAGCCACGGCUAGCUACGUG